UUUCUGUAGGUGAACCUGCGGAAGGAUCAUUAUUGAAAUAAACCUGAUGGGUUGUUGCUGGUUCUCUAGGGAGCAUGUGCACACCUGUCAUUUUUAUAUCUCCACCUGUGCACCUUUUGUAGACCUUACAGGUCUAUGUUGCUUUCAUUUACCCCCAAUGUAUGUUAAUAGAAUGUUGCGACCAUAAAAUUAUACAACUUUCAGCAACGGAUCUCUUGGCUCUC
rnacentral:misc_RNA from 1 species